rnacentral:rRNA from 1 species
GAGUUUGAUCAUGGCUCAGGAUGAACGCUCGCGACAGGCCUAAUACAUGCAAGUCGUACGGGGGGUAGCAAUACCCUUAGUGGCGGACGGGUGCGUAACGCGUACGUAACCUACCCUGGAGAGGGGGACAACUGUUGGAAACGACAGCUAAUACCCCGUAAUGCAGCGGCUACACAAGUAGACAGUUGUUAAAGCAGCAAUGCGCUUCAGGACGGGCGUGCGUCUGAUUAGCUAGUUGGCGGGGUAACGGCCCACCAAGGCGACGAUCAGUAGCUGGUCUGAGAGGAUGAUCAGCCACACGGGCACUGAGACACGGGCCCGACUCCUACGGGAGGCAGCAGUAGGGAAUAUUGGGCAAUGGGCGAAAGCCUGACCCAGCCAUGCCGCGUGGAGGAAGAAGGUGCAUCGCAUUGUAAACUCCUUUUCUGCGAGGAUAAAUGCCGGUUCGGCCGGAGCUGAAGGUAUCGCAGGAAUAAGCACCGGCAAACUACGUGCCAGCAGCCGCGGUAAUACGUAGGGUGCAAGCGUUGUCCGGAUUUACUGGGUUUAAAGGGUGCGCAGGCGGACUGGUAAGUCGGCGAUGAAAUGCGGGGGCUUAACCCCACGCGCUGUCACCGAUACUGCCAGCCUUGAACAAGUUGGAGGCAGCUGGAAUGAGUGAUGUAGCGGUGAAAUGCGUAGAGAUCACUCAGAACACCAAUUGCGAAGGCAAGCUGCUACGGCUUCGUUGACGCUCAGGCACGAAAGCAUGGGGAGCAAACAGGAUUAGAUACCCUGGUAGUCCAUGCCGUAAACGAUGAAGACUCGCUCUAUAUUCUCUCGAGUAUGGGGCUAAGAGAAAUCGAUAAGUCUUCCACCUGGGGAGUACGCUCGCAAGGGUGAAACUCAAAGGAAUUGACGGGGGCCCGCACAAGCGGUGGAGCAUGUGGUUUAAUUCGAUGGUACGCGAGGAACCUUACCUGGGCUCGAAUGCGCGUGACCGUCCGUGAAAGCGGAUCUCUCUUCGGAGCACAAAGCAAGGUGCUGCAUGGCUGUCGUCAGCUCGUGCCGUGAGGUGUUGGGUUAAGUCCCGCAACGAGCGCAACCCCUGUGGUUAGUUGCCCCCGCGUAAUGGCGAGCACUCUAACCAGACUGCCUUCGUAAGAAGCGAGGAAGGAGGGGACGACGUCAAGUCAUCAUGGCCCUUACGCCCAGGGCUACACACGUGCUACAAUGGCCGGUACAACGGGUUGCGACACAGCGAUGUGAAGCCAAUCUCUUAAAGCCGGUCUCAGUUCAGAUCGGAGUCUGCAACUCGACUCCGUGAAGUCGGAAUCGCUAGUAAUCGCGCAUCAGCCAUGGCGCGGUGAAUACGUUCCCGGGCCUUGUACACACCGCCCGUCAAGCCAUGGGAGCCGGGGGUGCCUGAAGUCGCAGUUAUCCUGCGCCCAGGGCAAAACUGGUGACUGGGGCUAAGUCGUAACAAGGUAGC